GAUUUUUUUUCUGUGGGACAACCAAUUCUUUUCGCCGUGAUUGGCUGCAUAGCGUCAUUGCAUUGCAUCGUAUGAUUGACUGGACACUUGUCACUCGCUGAAUUACACAGCAAAAU